UCCUCACAAAGGCCCCGUUUUCCCUGAUGCCAGAAUGAGAUGGAACUAGCCUCCAAUUUGCUCCAUUUCUGUGUGAGAGCGAUCUUGUCGAGGCCUUUAGAUCCUCGCGGGACUUUUUCUAUCUUUUCACGUGAAGACCGUCAACCAGUAAAGUUGCUAGACCGACCUCUGUGGCACUAAGUUAGUUUAAAGUGUCAUUAGCCAAGGAUUGACUAGGGCAAACCCGGUAGAAAAGCCUACCGAAGCUUAAAACCUGUUACAAAACCGCCCAUUAGUUAAUCUCCGGCAUCUCCUCUGACCUUCGCGGGUGUGUUCUUUGCGACUUUCCGAAGGUGAAUUUGCCCACCUCCCAGCGUGGGUGCGAGUUGGGGCACGACCGAUUGCCAGCUGAACAUCACGAUUGGCCCGUUCGCGGACGAGCAUUGCCGGUGAGGCACGCGGAUUGGCCUCGUGGAGGAGAUUUGGCCCAUUUGAGCACCGCAACGCAACCUAGGACGCUCAAAUUGUAGGCCCGGUCGGCCAUCUUGCGAAUAUUGUUGUCCAAUUGUCGUUUGGAGGCAACAAAACCAUCGAAACACGUGCUCGCCAUCGUCCAAAAGUGUGAACACGCGGUGAUUUCGAGUGCUUGACGACCACUGACUGCGAGCGACCAGCCGAUACGCUCAUUUUCCGGCUUUGCAACCCCCUUCCGGUCGCUCAGUGGAAAUUAGGAAACUUUUCACGUGAAAUUCUACUCCUCAAACGUCUGAGGACUGCGGGUGGACUACCCGUCGGGAGUAACCGGUGCUGUCGCAGCGGAGACCAGGAGCUGGGUCGCGCGCGGAAACGUCGCACGCUCGAGGAAGCGUACUGCCAUCUGGUAGUAAAAAUCGGAAACCGGUUUGCGCAGC
rnacentral:lncRNA from 1 species